CCUUCUUUUAUCCCCAUGCAAUCCUUCAAGAAAAUAUUAUAUUAUACAAUAAAAUUAGAAUUUAUUAUUUUUUUAUUUAUUAAAUGAAUAAAAAUUUCUACUUGAAAACAUAUUGAGCCCCUGUUUGUGUUCCUUUAAAAUGUGUUUGUGGAAAAAAUGUAUUUUAAAAUAAUGAUUUUUUAGAAGAAAAAGAGAACAGAUAAAAAUGCAUUAAAAUUUUAAUGUAGCCCAAACAGGGGCUAAAACCUAUUAGUCAAAGAAAAUUCAAACACCAUUACCACAGUAAAAUCUCCUCCCCCAAAUGUAAGCAAAACAAAAUACUCUCUCUUCUAGUCUUCUUCUUCACACUGCACACCCCACUGGACACUAAUUUUAUCUCCUCUGUAAUCCAUGCAAAGAUAGGAACUUUAUUGAUAAAAAAGAUACUCAAAUCAUUGAUGAUUAUUGCAUUCUUCUUGUCAUUUUGCAUUUCUUUAUCUUUUUCACCGACUUCAGAUAGCGUCUCUUUAUUGGCACUCAAAGCAGCCAUUACAGAAGAUCCAAAACAAGCCCUUUUGAAUCAUGCAAAUGGGCUGGAAUCACAUGUGAUGACAUCCACCAUAAGGUCAGCUCCAUUGAUAUUAUCAGAGAUUGGUGCACUUUCUUCACUUUUCUUGACCCAUCAGAGAACUUUCUUUAUGGGCCUUUGCCACAACGGAUCACUACCCAGCAAAACCUCACUCACAUUGACUUGUCUUCAAAUAAUCUCAAUGGUUCACUCCCUCGAGGCUUAAGUAACUUAACCCACUUGAUAGAGACUCUAAAUCUUUCAUUCUAUGAAUUUUUCGAUGAGAUUCCAGGGAGUUUUGGCAUGUUCCCAGUUAUGCUCAGCCUAAACCUCUGGAAGUAUGUAAAUUCACCAUAUUAUGAGGCAUUAAAUGAUGUGACCAAUUAAGUAGAUUAAAUACCUCUAGAAGAUAUGCGCCCAAAGAUAGAUUAGUGAUCUAUAAAUACGUUUUUCAGGUAUAGCAGGAAGUGAAGUUGAUUUAACUUUUAGUCUUUCUGAUAUAAUAAUGUAGAUUAUUUUGCAAUAUUUUUAGCAUAUUUGUAUAUUCUCAUUAAAACCCCUUAACACCAUUGCACCAAUACCUAGUGUUAGUACAAUACCUUCAUGAUCCAAGAUCACCUAUAGUUUGAUUUUAAAUAAGGGAUCAUUUAAAAUGUAAUUUAAUUUUGAUACAUAUCAAUUAAAGAAUCUAUUUAAUAUAUGAAUAUAUAUCCCUUCCAUAAAUUACAAACUUCAUCAUUACAUUUUUUUAUUUAUUCUUAUAAGACUUUACCAUAUGCUUACCAAUUCUAUUUUUUCUUUACCGAAACUCUACCUUCCAUCUUGUUUAGUUGACAGAGCAAAAUAUUCAACUUACAAGAAUCAUUUUCCACAAGUAUCAGAAGAUAAGUUAUCAAAUCAAAUCAAAUAAGAAUUAAUACGGCAAUACUAAAUUCUUUUCUCACAUUAAAAAAUUUAAUAAAGCAGAAAGCAGCCAGAGCAGUAGUUGAAACACACAAAACAUUACCUGAAUAAUUAUAUGUAUCUCAUCUCUCUUGAUGCCAUUUUUCCAGAACAACUAACUUGGAUGAUGCCCAAUAACCAGGGAUAUGUUUGAUAAAAGAUUACUCUUGGCAAAAAUAUUGAGUAAAUUUAUAAUGGGGAAAGCAAACAUAAUAAUAAAU
rnacentral:lncRNA from 1 species